rnacentral:rRNA from 1 species
CCUACGGGAGGCAGCAGUGGGGAAUUUUGGACAAUGGGGGAAACCCUGAUCCAGCCAUUCCGCGUGUGCGAUGAAGGCCUUCGGGUUGUAAAGCACUUUUGGCAGGAAAGAAAUCGCGCAAAUUAAUACUUUGCGUGGAUGACGGUACCUGCAGAAUAAGCACCGGCUAACUACGUGCCAGCAGCCGCGGUAAUACGUAGGGUGCAAGCGUUAAUCGGAAUUACUGGGCGUAAAGCGUGCGCAGGCGGUUCGGAAAGAAAGGUGUGAAAUCCCAGGGCUUAACCUUGGAACUGCACUUUUAACUCCCGAGCUAGAGUAUGUCAGAGGGGGGUGGAAUUCCGCGUGUAGCAGUGAAAUGCGUAGAUAUGCGGAGGAACACCGAUGGCGAAGGCAGCCCCCUGGGAUGAUACUGACGCUCAUGCACGAAAGCGUGGGGAGCAAACAGGAUUAGAUACCCUGGUAGUCCACGCCCUAAACGAUGUCAACUAGCUGUUGGGGCCUUCGGGCCUUAGUAGCGCAGCUAACGCGUGAAGUUGACCGCCUGGGGAGUACGGUCGCAAGAUUAAAACUCAAAGGAAUUGAGG